UUUUAAUGACAAUUUCAAUUUGACAUUCUACUGUUUUGAGAAAAUAUUUUAUUUAUAUAAAUUUAUUCUAAACGGAAUAUAAACGUGUGAUUUGAUAUCGUUAUAUGCAAACUGUCGACUCAAAUCAAUAGGUAAAGAACGUAAUAAGAUAUCAAGAUGUUUGUUUGUCGAAACUUUUGUCUUUGCAUGGAUUUACGGAAAGGAUGUAUAGCUAUAGCGUAUUUUCAAGCGGUUCAACAAUUAUUACUAAUGAUCUAUACAUUACGAGCUUUAUUUGAAGAUUUUUAUUUCUUCAAGACUUGCAGCAAAGCGUUAUAUGAAGAGUCGUCGUUUAUGCUCGCUUAUUCAAAGGCUGUACAUCUUUUCUUACACACGCUAUAUUUGAUUUUAACCUGUUCACUAUUGGUUGGAUUGCAUAAGGGGAUAUCAAGAAUUAUUAAAGACUAUCUGAUCUGUGUAUUUAUUUACAUGGUAUUCUAUGCUUUGCUAUACCUUUUAGCGUGGAUUUGUCUAGAUGAUUUUGAAAUAGAGGGUGUGGGACCGCCUAUUAAUUUAACUCUUAAUAUCUAUUUUCUCCUGAUGAUGCGCAGUUACUGGUUAAAGAUGUACACGAAGCAAUCUUUGAGUGUAAAUGCAUAGUUUACCGCCAUUUUGCCUGUUAUUCAAAAUGGCGUUUAGAUAUCUGUCACAUGUAAAUAAAAAUAUUUUUCAACGUCCUGUC